rnacentral:rRNA from 1 species
CCUGCCUAGAAAAGCCCAGCAGUGAGUUGACAUGUGUGCCCGUACCCCAAACCGACACAGGUGGAUAGGUAGAGAAUACCAAGGCGAUUGAGUGAACUAUGGUUAAGGAACUCGGCAAAAUGCAUGCGUAACUUCGGGAUAAGCAUGACCCCGUUAGGGUGAAGAGACUUGCUCUCCGAGCUCGAAGGGGUGGCACAGAAUUGGGGGAAGCGACUGUUUACUAAAAACACAGCAGCGUGCGAAGCCGUAAGGCGCUGUAUACGCUGUGACGCCUGCCCGGUGCUGGAAGGUCACGGGGAAGGGUUAGCCCUUGAGGCGAAGCUCUGAACCUAAGCCCCAGUAAACGGCGGCCGUAACUAUAACGGUCCUAAGGUAGCGAAAUUCCUUGUCGGGUAAGUUCCGACCUGCACGAAUGGCGUAACGACUUCCCUACUGUCUCAACCAUAGACUCAGCGAAAUUGAAGUACGAGUAAAGAUGCUCGUUAGCUGUAGAAGGACGGAAAGACCCCGUGGACCUUUACUAUAGCUUGGUAUUGAGUUUUGUUAUGCAUUGUGUAGGAUGUGGGAGGCUAGGAAGCAUGCACGCCAGUGUGUGUGGAGCCAUCCUUGAAAUACCACCCUGUGUAUGGCGAGACUCUAACCUAGGACCGUUAUCCGGUCCGGGAACAGUGCCAGGUGGGUAGUUUGACUGGGGCGGUCGCCUCCUAAAAUGUAACGGAGGCGCCCAAAGGUUCCCUCAGGCUGGUUGGCAAUCAGCCGUCGAGUGCAAUGGCAUAAGGGAGCUUGACUGCGAGACGUACAUGUCGAGCAGGUGCGAAAGCAGGGCAUAGUGAUCCGGCGGUAGCGUGUGGAAGCGCCGUCGCUCAACGGAUAAAAGGUACCCCGGGGAUAACAGGCUAAUCUUCCCCAAGAGUCCAUAUCGACGGGAAGGUUUGGCACCUCGAUGUCGGCUCAUCGCAUCCUGGGGCUGAAGCAGGUCCCAAGGGUUGGGCUGUUCGCCCAUUAAAGCGGUACGCGAGCUGGGUUUAGAACGUCGCGAGACAGUUCGGUCCCUAUCCUCUACAGCCGGAAGUGACUUGAGAAAAGCUAUCCCUAGUACGAGAGGACCGGGAUGGACGCAGCUCUCGUGUGCCAGUUGUUCUGCCAAGAGCAUGGCUGGUUAGCGACCUGCGGAAGAGAUAACCGCUGAAAGCAUCUAAGUGGGAAGCUCCUUUCAAGAUGAGGUCACUCACAGGGUUAACCUGGUAAGGCCCGUGGUAGACGACCACGUUGAUAGGCCGGA